CUGAAGCAGACUCUGUGGUGACAGCAGAGAGCCCAAUGCAAGAUUCAAACUCACAAACCAUAAGAUCAUGAUCUGAGCUGAAGUUGGCCGCUUAACCAACUGAGACACCCAGGUGCCCCCAAGUCUCAAUGUCUAAAGGCAUCUCCUUAUAAGUUUUCCAGCCCUUUCUUCAGAUAUUCGCCCCCAUAUUUCUGUAUAAUAAUCUUCUACAACUGUGUUUUACCAAUUUUAGAUAUUAUCUAUUGACUUCUUGUUAUGGUAAGUAAGAAUUUAAAUUUCUGAAGUCUACCUUCCUUGUCUCUAAUAAUGUUAAAUCAUUAAUCAGUGCAUACAGUUAGUGGUUGUGUAAAUACUGCUUAUUGCUGAGCCAGGUAGAAUGCUCUGAUUGUUCCUUUUCUUGUAAGAUACUUGGUCUUCUUGAAACUGUUUCAUUGGUCCCCAUUCAGUAUAUGUAUUGUGAGUUUUUUUAAUUUUCCAAUGAAUAUAUAAAGCAGAGUUCAAUAUUAUUUUCAAAGUAACAGAUAACUAAUUAGUGCCAUGUUUUCCCCUUGAAUAUCACCUUCUUGUUUCUUGUCAGUAGGAUGACUUUAGAAGUUGGGCCCACAAAACUAGACAAAAAAAACAAUGACAGAUACUCAGAGGUCAAUCCAAUGACAUCUUUCUAUCCCUAAGAGUUGUGUGGUCUUACCAGUCAGGAAAAAUUCAAAAUGAAUGAAGGGUUCAUAAAGUUCAGUUUUUAAAGUUAGACAGGGAGAUAUUUAUACUUGAAGAAGGGCCAAAGAAAUUCAAAAUCCCAUCAAGUCAUAUAGCCAAUUACAUGGAAGUGGUCAACUUAAUUCUUUGAGUAGACAGAAAAAUUAGAUAAUUUGUGUUUCCAUUCUAAGAGUUGCAGCACACUUAAAAUCCUCUUCCUUCUUUAGGUCAUGACUUUCUUAGUAUAGCAGCUAUAAGCAGUGCUCAUUAAGUCCCAUCAAAGUUGAAGGGAAGAAUCCCAUCCUUGCCUAGUUCAAGGUCUUCUCAGAACAGAAGGAAACUGAACAAGCUGAGAAGAUGGCCAUAAAAAUGACAUAGGAUGGCUUUUUGUGAUAAGCAACAAUAAGAUGAUACAUGGGAAAAUGCUUGGUAGACUAUGAAGCAUACCACCAAGAAUACCAUUUACUUGCCUGAAAGUUCCAUAUUGCAAUGAAGCAUCUUGUCACCGUGAGCCUACACCAAAUGUUAACAAUGUUUAUGAAGCGCUGGAGCACCACGCAUGAUUUUAUAUGGAGUUUGAGUAAGGUAUGCUCCCAGGAUGUGGGAAUGAAGAAAGUUGCUCAUCCAGGAUUUGUAGCAAUGGAAAGGCAAGAACUGAAAAUGUGACUACAGAGACAUGAUGUUUCUUUAUUUUUGAGACAGAGACAGAGCGUGAACAGGGGAGGGGCAGAGA